GAUGAACGCUAGCGGCAGGCUUAAUACAUGCAAGUCGAGGGGCAGCAGGUCCCGCAGCAAUGCGGGAUGCUGGCGACCGGCAAACGGGUGCGGAACACGUACAGAACCUUCCUUUAAGUGGGGAAUAGCCCGGGGAAACCCGGAUUAAUACCCCGUAACAUAAUGAAGUGGCAUCACUUUAUUAUUAUAGCAGCAAUGCGCUUGAAGAUGGCUGUGCGGCUGAUUAGGUAGUUGGCGGGGUAACGGCCCACCAAGCCUACGAUCAGGAACUGGGGUGAGAGCACGACCAGUCACACGGGCAGUGAGACACGGGCCCGACUCCUACGGGAGGCAGCAGUAAGGAAUAUUGGGCAAUGGACGCAAGUCUGACCCAGCCAUGCCGCGUGGAGGAUGAAGGUCCUCUGGAUUGUAAACUUCUUUUAUCUGGGAAGAAAUCUAUUUUUUCUAAAGUAGUUGACGGUACCAGAUGAAUAAGCACCGGCUAACUCCGUGCCAGCCGCCGCCGUAA
rnacentral:rRNA from 1 species